rnacentral:rRNA from 1 species
CCUACGGGGAGCAGCAGUGGGGAAUAUUGGGCAAUGGGCGCAAGCCUGACCCAGCAAUGCCGCGUGAAGGAAGAAGGCUUUCGGGUUGUAAACUUCUUUGACAGGGGAAGAGCAGAAGACGGUACCCUGAAAACAAGCCACGGCUAACUACGUGCCAGCAGCCGCGGUAAUACGUAGGUGGCAAGCGUUGUCCGGAUUUACUGGGUGUAAAGGGCGUGUAGCCGGGAAGGCAAGUCAGAUGUGAAAUCUGGAGGCUCGACCUCCAAAUUGCAUUUGAAACUGUUUUUCUUGAGUACUGGAGAGGCAGACGGAAUUCCUUGUGUAGCGGUGAAAUGCGUAGAUAGAAGGAGGAACACCAGUGGCGAAGGCGGUCUGCUGGACAGCAACUGACGGUGAGGCGCGAAAGCGUGGGGAGCAAACAGGAUUAGAUACCCUAGUAGUC